rnacentral:rRNA from 1 species
AGAAGCCUUCGGGUAAGUAUACCGGCGGAAGGGUGAGUAAUAUGUAGUUAACGUACCUUGAGGAGGGGGAUAAUUCUGGGAAACUGGUUGUAAUACCCCAUGAGACCACGGUGUCUUCGGGCACAGGGGUUAAACGGGCGGGACCGUUCGCGGCCGCCUGCCUCAUGAGCGGACUACAUCUGAUUAGCUAGUUGGUGAGGUAACGGCUCACCAAGGCGACGAUCAGUAGCCGGCCUGAGAGGGUGUUCGGCCACACUGGGACUGAGACACUGCCCAGACUCCUACGGGAGGCUGCAGUCGCGAAUCAUUCACAAUGAACGCAAGUUUGAUGAUGCCACGCCGCGUGUAGGAAGAAGGCCUUCGGGUUGUAAACUACUGUCAGUUGAGGGGAAGUAUAGUUGUUGAAUAGAUGGCUAUUUGACUGCUCAUCAGAGGAAGCCCCGGCUAAACACGUGCCAGCAGCCGCGGUAAUACGUGUGGGGCGAGCGUUGUUCGGAAUUACUGGGCAUAAAGGGUCCGUAGGCGGUUUGCUAAGUCAGGGGUGAAAAUUCGGGGCCCAACCUCGAACUUGCCUUUGAUACUGGUGAACUUGAGUCCAUUAGGGGUGAGCGGAACGUGUGGUGUAGCGGUGAAAUGCGUAGAUAUCACACGGAAGGCCGGAGGCGAAGGCGGCUCACUGGGAUGGUACUGACGCUGAGGGACGAAAGCGUGGGGAGCAAACAGGAUUAGAUACCCUGGUAGUCCACGCCGUAAACGAUGAGCACUAGAUGGGUGCCUUUCUAGGGGUGCCUGUCGGAGAUAAUUUGUUAAGUGCUCCGCCUGGGGAGUACGGUC